GGCUGCACUGCUGUACAGGACUCGCUCAGGAAGAAUGCAUCUAAGAAGUGUGUUUUUGGUUGUGAGGGAAAGAUAACCUUGUUCAGCUUCCCAAAAGAACCCAGCGUUAGGUGAACAGUGGAUGCAGUUUGUUUUUUCCGGGGCAGCAAUGGAGUUUUGCAAGUGUGUUUGUUGACGAACGUUUUAUAAACAAGGCCCAGUUAAAUGUUGGAUCUGCACAUCGUUUGAAACUGAAAGAUGGAGCAGUCCCAGCUAUGAAAGAUACCGGUCGUGAUUCAGAACUGCAGAUAAUAUGAUCAAACUAAAACCUUUUUGGAGAUAUGAAGGAUGCUGUACUACUCUAUAGCAGGUCAGAUGGAGGUUGAAAGUGGUUGCUGAUAGUCAACACUGUAUCAGGCGGGAAAAAAAGUGGAACAUAAUCAGCAGUCAGAGAGGUGAAGAAGGAGAGAGAUGUUAUAAACAGUGGUGAUUUUGUUUUGGAGAUCAGCGGUGGGAGAUAAUUAGUCUCCAUAGCUGGGCUGCUGUGACUGGCUACACAUGUUCCAGCUGUCACAGGUGUAUUCCUGGAGACUGAGGCACUGACAGCCAUGACGGGACCAUCUGGGCCUGUUCCCAUCACGGGAGGAUGCCUUGCCAAUGACAGUCUCCUUUCUGCUUGAGGAGGAGGCACUGAUGAGGUAAAGAAGGCCCAGAAGACGCAAUGACCAGUUGCCCUACAAUGUUUGCAAAAGAUCAAAAGAGCCUGCUGAACACCAUUGAUCCUGAUCCUUUGUGAUCAAGGAAUCCAAAUGUGUGUUCUUUGUGUGGAUUGUGGGCAAAUGGAGGACACAAAGGAUACACCUGAUGCAUCCUUCAAAAUACACUGAAUGAAGUAUAUGAAAUGAAGUCUGCCUUCCAAGGAUGCUUCAAAUUGAGAAGACAUUAGAUGGUACUUGAUGACACAGUAGCCAAAAAACCUGCAAGUCAGCAGUGUGACCCAUUUCCAGCACCGUCGUGCUUGGUUGCACAAACUCCAGCCUGUCAGGACAUCGGGUCCAUAGGUUUCCUGACAAUAAAUAUCUUCCGAGCCUCGGUGCGUUUGUGCAGCUGAAGAGACGGGACUUCACUAAUGCAUCUGCUUCAAACAACGAGGUGGUGCGAUCACUUUAUACCGGAAGAUUAUCAUCCGGCGAUAUGAUGCAGUUCAACAUGGGAUGCCGAAGCAAGAGCCUAGUGAGACUUGGUGUGGUUUCUUCGGUGCACACAGCAGCUUCAUCGGGUCCCGGUCCGCCUCUGUUCGGCCGCCGGCGGGAGACAUGAUGCUCACGGAUCCGUCAGAGAUGCUGCUCCAGGAAAAGGUCUACUGUGCACCGCUUUGGAAGACGAGAGUGUGAAGAUCUGAAGCAGUGGAGGCCAGCUGUUAUUAACACCUCUACUGGACUGCAGCUUCACUCCUGAUGGAGAUGCAGAUGUGAUGGAGGCCGAGUGGAGAAGCAUGGUCAGCAGUGAAUGUGAUCUAAACUUGUGUUUGCUGCUCCCAGCAUAUGCCGUCUGAGAGAGGAAUACUGCAGAUCACCACAGGCUCCACAAGAACUUUAGUGCAUUGUAUAAAUAAAUAUACAGAUUUAGUGAUGUAUAAAUAAAACUGAAUUGAAUUAACCAU